GCGGUCGCCUCCUAAAAGGUAACGGAGGCGCUCAAAGGUUCCCUCAGAAUGGUUGGAAAUCAUUCAUAGAGUGUAAAGGCAUAAGGGAGCUUGACUGCGAGACCUACAAGUCGAGCAGGGUCGAAAGACGGACUUAGUGAUCCGGUGGUUCCGCAUGGAAGGGCCAUCGCUCAACGGAUAAAAGCUACCCCGGGGAUAACAGGCUUAUCUCCCCCAAGAGUUCACAUCGACGGGGAGGUUUGGCACCUCGAUGUCGGCUCAUCGCAUCCUGGGGCUGUAGUCGGUCCCAAGGGUUGGGCUGUUCGCCCAUUAAAGCGGUACGCGAGCUGGGUUCAGAACGUCGUGAGACAGUUCGGUCCCUAUCCGUCGUGGGCGUAGGAAAUUUGAGAGGAGCUGUCCUUAGUACGAGAGGACCGGGAUGGACAUACCUCUGGUGUACCAGUUGUCGUGCCAACGGCAUAGCUGGGUAGCUAUGUGUGGACGGGAUAAGUGCUGAAAGCAUCUAAGCAUGAAGCCCCCCUCAAGAUGAGAUUUCCCAACUUCGGUUAUAAGAUCCCUCAAAGAUGAUGAGGUUAAUAGGUUCGAGGUGGAAGCAUGGUGACAUGUGGAGCUGACGAAUACUAAUCGAUCGAAGACUUAAUCAA
rnacentral:rRNA from 1 species